rnacentral:rRNA from 1 species
GAUGAACGCUGGCGGCGUGCCUAAUACAUGCAAGUAGAACGCUGAAGGAAGGAGCUUGCUCUUUCCGGAUGAGUUGCGAACGGGUGAGUAACGCGUAGGUAACCUGCCUGGUAGCGGGGGAUAACUAUUUGAAACGAUAGCUACUACCGCAUAACAGUAGAUGUUGCAUGAUACCUACUUAAAAUGUGCAAUUUCACCACUACCAGAUGGACCUGCGUUGUAUUAGCUAGUUGGUGAGGUAACGGCUCACCAAGGCGACGAUACAUAGCCGACCUGAGAGGGGGGUCGGCCAAACGGGGAAUUGAGCACGGCCCAGACUCCUACGGGAGGCAGCAGUAGGGGAUCAUCGGCAAAGGACGGAAGUCGGACCGAGGAACGCCGCGUGAGUGAAGAAGGUUGUCGGAUCGUAAAACUCUGUUGUAAGAGAAGAACGAGUAUGAGAUUGGAAAGUUCACACUGUGACGGUAUCUUACCAAAAAGGGACGGCUAACUACGUG